GGAUUGAAUAAUGCGAAAUUCAA
rnacentral:snRNA from 1 species